GCAAACUUGGUCAUUUAGAGGAAGUAAAAGUCGUAACAAGGUUUCCGUAGGUGAACCUGCGGAAGGAUCAUCACAGUGUGUGGUGUCUCUCUACACCAAUCUUGUGUGAACUGUUGUUGUGUGUUGGUGUGUGAUGUGCUACGACACUCCCACCACCACAAAUAUCACCUUCAAUCUUUGUCUAACAUGUACCCACACAAUCUAAAACAACUUUUAACAAUGGAUCUCUUGGCUCUCGCAUCGAUGAAGAACGCAGC
rnacentral:misc_RNA from 1 species